UGCCGAGAAACGAAGACUUGCCCGCGCCAGUAGGCGCCGGCCCCUCUUCCCAAGGACGCUUCCACCGGCCGGCUGGUGACCGUCCCUCCUUCCUCCCUCGGUCCCUUUGCGGUUUUUGCAACAGCGGGCCGGCCACAUCCAGGACUUCCCUUGGCCUGUGGGACACUUCCUCCCUGUGGCGAUCCCCGGGGGGAGGGGGGGUUCUGGGGAAACGGGAGGGAGGUCCGAUUCACCGAUUCACGGUGGGAUGUAUGGCCCGGCCAGUCCUGCGAUCCCUGGGGCUCCUUCCCUUAGGCCCCGCCCCCAAAUUCCCAGAUUCCCUCCCUUCCUGCUCCUCAGGUUAAAGUGCUGCACCCACUCCCCUCACCCCAUCAGCGGCUGCUUCUCUUUCUGGGUGGCAGACCAGAGGUCCACCUUUUCCCUCCAGAUUCAGAUCUCUCGGGGUCACCCCAGACCCCCGGUUUCUCUUCACUGAGCCCGUACCAGUCUAUGACUUAAACAUCUUUAAGGCUCACACCCUUCUGCCACCUGCUGAGCGCUGGUCCCAGCUGUCCCAUCUUAGCAGCCUCCGGAUGGCGUUCCCCACCCAGCAGCCACCCCCACCAGCACUAUCACCCUGAUGCUUUAGCCCAAGACCCCCUUCCCAGCAGUGGUCACCAGCUCCAAUGCCGGACACGGACCUCAUGUGUCCAGGCCCAGCCCAGCAGCCACCUGUGUCUGGUGGCGCUAGAGCCCUCCCAAGGAGACUGCAGAGGGAAGAUGGCGCCACGCCAAGCCCACGUCUCCAGAAGCUUCUAGUGCUCACACGGGAGUAUGCAGACUAUCUGCCUGCCCUGUCUUUAAAGCCACAGCCCCAAUGCUCUGCACCACCUGGCCCAGCGACCCCUAGAUCACUCUAAGUCACUGUCGACAAUCAGCCUGCGCUAGCCUCCCUGGAUGGGCUGAAGCGGGGCCGUGUGCCCAGCUCCAGGCACCAAAACCCAGCAAGGGAGAGGCCCGGGUCUGGAAGGGCAGGAAGGGGGCAGCUUCCCCACCCCUCUCCUUUACUCAGUUCUGGACCCUACCUGGAGCUUUGCCGGCAGACGGGGUGAGCGGCUGUCCAAGGCUUUCCCCUGGACAAGUGCCCCCGCCCACUCCUGCUCCUGGACCCUAUGUAGCUCCAGUGGCCACAGGAUCCCCCUGGCAUGUCUACCAGCCGACUGGGGGUGGGAGACACGGAGCAAACAGAGGGAGCUUCCCUGGCCGCUGGCCACAGCGGAGCUGCAGACCUUCCUUUCUCAACAGCCCCCCAUCCCCCAGAAGCAUCUGCCCCUGACUAGUCCCUGUUGGAGGGUCACACUUGAUCACCUAGAGUCCGUCCAGAAGGGUGGCCUCGGAUGCACCUUGCAAAGGACAUUUCAACCACGAUCUCCUACUCCCCCUUACACACCAACAACACCCAUAACCCCUCCUGCUUCCGACCCAACCUGCUUCCCUACCCCUCACCGACCACCCAAAGCCCCCUCCCACCCCACCCCCACCAUUUCAGGCGAAUGACAGCGUCACCAAGCGGCCCUCUGCCAGUGCUGCCGCAGAGCCUCCGCCAGGCACUGGGACCCGAAACCGAGGGGCAUCGGUGCGGACAACUCCUCGCUCGGACACCGGGACAGCCCUCACCAAUACCUUGUACUCCCCGGAGCCCUGGCCCUGGCCUCACCUGGCUGCCACCCCACAGGAGAAAACCACCCACUCAGGCCACCCUCCUCGUGGCCAGCCUGCACUUGGAGAGACCUACCUGGCAGGCAGCGCUUGAUCAAAGACCCCUCACCAAAGCCACAACACCUAAGACUCCUGAAGAAGGGGGUUUCACCAGCACCCAAGCCGGACCUGGGUCAGUAAACAAAUAUGCCUGAAGACACCGCACAGAGACACUCUUUGUCUGGUGUCGGCAUUCAAGGAAACGCAGCUUCGUGCCAUCACGGCCCCAGAGUGGCGGCCUCAGACCUUCCUGACCCGACCCCUCCCACAGGCAGCAGGACAGCGGGCAGCAUCCACGAGGGGGUUUUCGGGGCGAGUCUGCUCCCCACAAGGGUGCCCUUGUUCUCACAGAGGCCCGGCAGCCUCCGCGGGAGAUGGGAGUACUCGCUGCUUGCUGUGCAAGGUGUUAGACGCGAUCUGCACAGCAGCCCCUCUUUCCCUCGCCGCGGCGGGCGGUGUAGGCGCUGACAUUAAUGCCCGCGGUCACUCGGCGGGAAGUGGCUGAGCAGUGCUGGCCUCCGGCUCCCCCCCGCCUCUCCCACUGCGAGACCUCCCCCCACGCCAGCCCCGGGGUGGGGGGGCGUCCUGAGCAGGAUGGGGACGCGGAAGCAGGGGCAGGGGCAGGCACGCCCUGCCGCCCAGCAAGCUGCAGACGGCCGGCCCGCUGCCUGGGGAGGACGGUCCCCCCCCCCCCCCCCACCGGCUGAGUCAGGGGCCGCCUACCGCCCAGGCACCUCCACCCGGCUCGCCAGCCCAGCUGGCAGGCACAGCUGGGGAGGGGGCUGCGGAUCUGGAUGGGACACAGUUCACCGUGAGUGACAGAAAAACGGCAUUAUUUCUUAGCAUAAGAGUAUCUGGCCCAAAGGAACUGAAACGAAAGCAAGGACUGGAACAGAAUCUCGCACGCCCCUGCGCACAGCGGCUGCCUCACAACAGCCGAAGGUGAAAACAACCCGUGUCCGUCCACGGAGAAGUGGGUCACAAAACGUGGCAGAGCCACAGGACGGAAUAUUAUUCAGCCUCAACAAGUAACGAAGUGCGACACCUGCUACGACGUGGAGGCACCCGACCUUGCCAACGCCGUGCGGAGUGAAAGAAACCAGACUUGAAGCAACAAAUACCGUGUGACUCCCUGUACGCGGAGGCCCCCACGGUCGUCAGAGUCACAGUGACAGAGCGGAAGGUGGGCGCCGGGGCCAGGGCGGGGCUGGGGAGUCCGUGUCCCCUGGGGAGAGAGGUCCAGUGGGGGAAGAUGAGAAAAUUCUGGAGACGGAUGGUGUGGACGGUGCGUAUGUGUUUAAUGACCCUGACCUGUACACAAAAAUGGUUAAAAUGCUAAAUCUUUUCAUGCGUAUUUUAUCACCAAAAAAGCAAGACCCCCCCACCCCCCACUACCUGCAACGUACGUACG